rnacentral:rRNA from 1 species
AAUAUUGGACAAUGGGGGCAACCCUGAUCCAGCCAUGCCGCGAGGGUGAAGAAGGUCUUCGGUUUGUAAAGCACUUUAAGGUGGGAGGAAGGGCUUUAGGUUAAUACUCUGAAGUUUUGACGUUACCAACAGAAUAAGCACCGGCGAACGUUGUGCCAGCAGCCGCGGUAAUACAGAGGGUGCAAGGGUUAAUGGGAAUUACUGGGCGUAAAGCGCGCGUAGGUGGUUGAGUAAGAAGGGUGUGAAAACCCCGGGCUUAACCUGGGAACUGCUUUCAUAGAUACUGAGCUAGAGUACGGUAGAAGGUGGUGGAGUUUCCUGUGUAGCGGUGAAAUGCGUAGAUAUAGGAAGGAACACCAGUGGCGGAGGCGGCUACCUGGACUGAUACUGACACUGAGGUGCGAAGGCGUGGGGGGCAAACA